rnacentral:rRNA from 1 species
CGGACGGGUGAGUAAUGUCUGGGAAACUGCUGAUGAGGGGGAUAACUACUGGAAACGGUAGCUAAUACCGCAUAACGUCGCAAGACCAAAGAGGGGGACCUUCGGGCCUCUUGCCAUCGGAUGUGCCCAGAUGGGAUUAGCUAGUAGGUGGGGUAAAGGCUCACCUAGGCGACGAUCCCUAGCUGGUCUGAGAGGAUGACCAGCCACACUGGAACUGAGACACGGUCCAG